UACAGGGGGGGCAAGCGUUGUUCGGAAUUACUGGGCGUAAAGGGCUCGUAGGCGGCCGGCUAAGUCCGACGUGAAAUCCCCAGGCUUAACCUGGGAACUGCGUCGGAUACUGGCGGGCUUGAAUCCGGGAGAGGGAUGCGGAAUUCCAGGUGUAGCGGUGAAAUGCGUAGAUAUCUGGAGGAACACCAAUAGCGAAGGCAGCUCGCUGGGACGGUAUUGACGCUAAGGCGCGAAAGCGUGGGGAGCAAACAGG
rnacentral:rRNA from 1 species